GGGGAUGUAGCUCAGUAGUAGAGGACUUGCCUAGCAUGCAAGAGGCCCUGGGUUCAACCCCCAGUACUACCC
rnacentral:tRNA from 1 species